AUCUGAUGGUUUUUCUGCCGAUUUCUUCAAAAUGUUUGGAAGUAUAUUGGUCUUUUUGUACUUAGAUCUAUUAAUUAUGGGUACAAGAAUAACAGUCUUUUUAUUACACAAAGAUAUGGUAUUAUUACACUGUUACCGAAAGGUGACAAUCCGAUACAAUAUUUGAAGAAUUGGAGACCAAUUACUUUGUGUAUAAAAUUGCAUCUGGUUGUAUUGCGAAUCAGGGAUACGAAAAAUAAGAGAAAAGAAAAUUAGGAAAUGACAAAAAUUGCGCAUGAAAAAAAUAUUCUUUGAGAUACAUGGAACUACAAUUGACUAAGUCCAAGUUCAUUUUGAUUGGACAAUUACCGGUGUGAUACCGUCUACCUCCUCAAUGAUUUAGUCUGUGUUAAUUAAAAGUUUUGAUUUCAUGCUUUGUGUGCUUGAAUUGUCAAACACUUUGCAGAUUUGAAUUUUAUAAAGAUAUUUAAAUCCGAAAUGUACUGGACUUCUUUCCGGAAUAUUUUUUCUUUUACAAAUAGAGUAUAAUAGACUCGGUAGAACCGUAAAAUGCCAAUUUGAAUUUCUCUCAUAUUACUGCAUUGGGAGGCGUUUGUAUGGUUCUAUAGAUGAGUUAUGAUAAGAGAUAAUCAAACAGCAAACUAGUUUAAGUUACAAUCCUGUUAAAAACCUAUUGGGACGCAAAUGGAAAAUUUAUCGAAACAGUUUAAAUGCAACCUUAAUAGUUGUUGUAGUGUGUAUCGUGCUUUACUUGUAAUAUUACAAAUGGAGAAUAUACAUUUUCAUUCUUCCCGCUGUGUGCAUGUAUUUAGUACACAACUACAAUACAAGAACUGCCACCCUCAGUCUUUAUGACUAUGAAACUGAUAAACAGCAUUCUCAUCUUUACUUUCAGCCGUGGGAAAUUAUAUCGGGGGCAUUUAUGGUCAAGAUCACGAAAUGCUACAUCAGUAUGUAUAGGAUUAGCAUCACAUAAAUCUUAUACUGCAGCGAUUCCUCGCAAGUGUGGGAGUAGACGGUCUUGUAAUGACAUCUGUCGGUUUGUAUCGAACAUGGACGAGGUUUCGGACGCCGCUAAUCCUCAACCGCGAUGCAUUAACGCAUUGCAUGUAUACGCCAAUAGAGGUACUAAGAACACACCCAACAUCAAAUGGAUAAACACCUGGAGAUACGGGUCUCGCGGCUGUAAAGCAAAACAUUGUGGGCCAAAUUUCUGUUGUUGUUCCCAAAAAAAUAUUUC